GAUGAUAAAUGUUUCCAACAUUUUUCUCUUUUUCCUUUUCAAUUUUUUCUAUUUAUUUUCUGUUUGUUAUAAUACAUAUUAUGGUCGACUUCAAAAUACUCACGAGAUUCUUGGAGAAAAUUCAAGAUAUAUUGUAUUUUAAUUUGUGUUGCUUUUGUUUUAUUUCAAGAUGAUUUGAUGGAAUUGCAGUUUUAAUUUGUGCUGCUUUUGUUUUAUUUCAAGAUGAUUUGAUGGAAUUUUCAAGAUGAUUUGUUUUAUUAUUUCUAUUUUUAGUAAGCAAUUUACUAUAUAUUUAUAAUAGUGACGCAACAAACAAAAUAAGUUUCCCCAUUCAUAAUUUAUAUUACUGCAUAUAAGUUAUCUUAGAGUAGCCGUUGUUUAGAUGCUGUUGAAUCAUCUCUCUUUGUAGCACAAGGCAGUUGGUUUCCCUUUUGAGGAAUAUACGAGUAUAGUAUUGAUUUGGCUGUGAAUUGUGAUAUGCAUCGAUAAUGGAUUGAGGACUUGAGUAUUUUGACAAAAAUAUAAUUGAUGAUGUUAAUCCACAACUGUGAUUUGUGAAGCCCAUAUAAUGUAAAUUUUAUUGCUUUUGUGGUCCUUCUUUAUUAUUGUGCAUCUCCAUUCUGCUAAUUAAAUUUAGCAUGGGGUAGGUUAACUUUGCCCUUCGUUAUUAAUGGCUCCCUCUUGAGCCUUUACCAGAAGUAUAACCUUCAAGAUUCACAGGUCUCUGCUUAUACCAGACAGAUUUUACAUGGUUUAAAAUAUUUGCAUGACAGAGAUGUGGUCCACAGAGAUAUCAAAUGUGCAAAUAUAUUGGUGGAUGCAAGUGGAUCUGUCAAACUUGCAGAUUUUGGCCUUGCAAGGGUUCAAUUUGCUCCUUUUUUUCCCCUCCUCUGGUUACAGUGCCUUUUUAUCUUCCACAGUUUUGGAAAUAGUUUACUACAAUUACUAUUGUGAUUAUUUCUAAUAAGCUAUUAUUGUUCAGGCUACCAAGCUAAAUGACGUGAAAUCAUGAAAGGGAACUGCAUUCUGGAUGGCUCCCGAGGUUUGUCUUGACUCUUUCUCCAGACUUAAGUAGCACAACAAGUUAAAUAAAAGGUUUCUGAUUUGUAUGUAUGGUCCGGUUAUAUUUUUGUUUGAGGACAGACAAAUGUUUAAGUUUGGGGGUAUUUGAUAAGUACAUUUUAUAUACUUAUUCGGUACUUAAAAUAAUGAUAUUUGAUAGUUCUUUUGACAUAAUAUAUUCUAAAUUGUUGUGUUUUACGUUUAAUAGGUAAAACUCCACAAAUAAAAAGGAAUUGAAGGAAAGAAGCAUAAAAUGGGUGAAAAUGGUAAAAUCUAAAGUGCAUGGAUUAAUUUGGCCGAUGGAUGAAAGUUGGAGAUUAAAUUUCAUAAUUUAGAAAGACUAACGACUUGCAGGAUAAUAUGGAUUAAUUGCUUUGAAUUGGAGUCCUUUGGAAAGUCAAACUUGGCUGCUAGGUUAAAUAUAUAUACAAAAGACGCACAGAAAUAUGGGGCUGCUGUUAUUAAUGUAUAUUCACGCAACUUGAGGGCAACCGGGGGAGAAAUGGGGUAAAUUUGUUCAUCAAAUUGGUCGACUGAUUGCACCUAUAUAUAUACACGCUUAUCGAGAAAAUAAGGGCAGCUUUGGUUGACAGGGAUCAUAUAGAUAAUUUUGGUUGUGUAGUUAGAAUUAUGAAUUAUCUCUUUCACACAUGCAAUCAUAUAAAUAACUUGAACUAAAUGCGUGAUUUUUAUAUGAAUUCAGACUAAGAAUAGAAUCAGGUCGUGUUAAUCAUAGGUUCGUGUGCCUUGAAAAAGAGCAUUGAAUAAUUUAGCGUUAUCGAUUGUCAAAAACACAUAAAUGAAACUAGAUUACGAUUCAAGAAUUGAAAUAGAUAGCAAUAGGUGGAGUCGAAAUCCAAUACAAUCCUCCGUAAUUUAAUAAAACCCGAACUUUUACAGCUUUCUUAGAUUAGUUUGGUAUAAAUUAAAUCCAAAUAUUUCGUUUGUUUUCAUAAUUCAAAUCUAUACGAAAUUAUUAAAUUUAAAUUAAAUUUAUUCUCUGUGGGACGAUAACUCUUAACUCAUAAAUUUUAUUACUUGUUAACGAUUCUGUACGCUUGAGGGUAUUACACGAACAGAGCCUUCAAACUUCAAUGAAGCAACAAAUUCACAGGUUCGGAUGGUUGCAAUGAAAGAGGAGCUAAGUAUGAUAGAAAAGAAUGAAACCUGGCUGUUGGUUGAUAGACCAAAGGAUAAAAAUGUGAUUGGAGUUAAAUGAGUGUUUAAAACUAAGCUAAACUCUAAUUGUUCAGUCAACAAACUCAAAGCCAGGUUAGUUGUGAAAGGAUAUGCUUAGCAAUAUGACAUUGAUUUUACAGAUACAUUUGCUCCUGUGGCAAGUAUGAAACAAUUAGAUUGUUGUUUGCCAUUGCUGCUCAAAGAGGCUUGAGAAUAUAUCAAUUGGAACAGCCUUCUUAAACAGAUAUUUAAAUGAAGAGAUUUUCAUUGAACAAUCAGAUGGUUUCCUAGUAAUUGGAGGAGGAUAAAGUUUAUUUGUUGAGGAAGACCUUGUAUGGAUUGAAGUAGGCUCCAAGAGCCUGGUACAGUAGAAUUGAUGAAUACUUAGGCUGCCUUGGCUUCAUCAAAAGUGUUAAUGAGCAAACACUUUAUAUAAAGCAAGUGGAGGAAGAAUUGAUUAUCAUUUCCUUGUAUGUUGAUGACCUAAUAAUAGGCAGCAAUCAAGCUUUAAUUGACAGAGCGAAAGGUGAAAUGAAGAUGGCAUUUGAUAGGACAGAUUUGGGGAAAAUGCUGUAUUUUCUUCGUAUGGAAAUAAAUCAAACACAAGAUGGAAUUUUUGUCUAUCAAAGGAGAUAUGGUAAGAAAAUUUUGAAGAAAUUCAGCAUGGAGAAUUGUAAACUAGUGAGUACUUCCUUGGUACAAAAUUUAAUGCUGAUAAAGGAAUAUGGAAGCAAGAAAUCUAAUGAAAAGGUUUAUAGAAGUUUGGUGGGAAGCUUAUUGUAUUUAACAAUCAUUAGACCAGACAUUACAUUUGCUGCAAAUAUGCUUUCCUAAUUUAGACAAGAGCCAAGUGAAUUACACUUCCAAGUUGCACAGAGAGUCUUAAGAUACACCAAAGGGAAUGGAGAGAUGGGAAUCUGGUUUAGGAGGCCAUAAACUUUGGAUUUAAUUGGCUAUACUGACAAUGAUUGGACUGGAUCCUUUGAUGAUAUGAAAAACACUUUUGGAUAUGUAUUUUAUAUGGGAUCAAGUGUUAUUUGUUGGAACUCAAUGAAAAAUCUUAACCACAAACCAGCUGAUGCAACCGUUAUUUACUGUGAUAAUCAAUUAGCUGUUGCAAUGGUUAAGAAUCCAGUGUUUCAUGGAAGAACAAAGCACAUCAAGAUCAAGUAUCAUGCAAUCAGGCAAGCACAAGAAAAUCAUGAAGCUAGUGCACUGCAAUGUUGAAGAUCAAUAUGAUGACAUUUUAAUUAAAUCCUUAUCAAAAGGAAGGUUUGAAACAUAGAGAAAAUGCCUUGGUGUUUUCAGCAAAAGUGUCGAGGAGUAUUGACAUUGGUUGUCACUUUUGCUGUACCAAAGUCUGGUAUUUUUGUGUAUUUAAAUCAAGUCUAUGUAAUUGUAUUUUUAGUGAUUAAAAUAUCUAUAAUGAUAUGGUCUUGCAUUGUUAUAGAAAUGCCGUCAACAAAUAAGGUUGUAGUAGGUAGGAGUUGUUGACUAAAAGCAUGGUUGAAAUCUUUUGUAUUACAUAUAUAUGCUCCAACCGUGUAGUAUGUAUAAUCUUCAAGUUUUUCAUCUUUUUCUUA